UUGAGGACAUCGCCAUGUUUAUUUACAUUAUUUACCUUUCGCGCGCGAGAAAAAUUUGUCUGGUUGGCCGAGUUCGCAUUGCGUUUUAGAAAGUCCAGUUACGAUGGCCUCUGUUCUGUUCCGUGGCUCGCUCCUGGCGAAUAAUAUGAAAAAAACAGCCGAUUUAAGGACCGUUCUUAUGAAACGGCAGAAACGUCCCGCCGAACAAUUUAAUUCGCUUCCUGGGACGAUAAAGGAAGAUUUCGGCCCCGAAUGACCCACACUACAGGGGAAAAAAAAACACCAAUUUCAGGGCCGCCGCGCAGAAGUUGAAAAUCCACCGGGUGGUCGAAUGCCCGAACAAAGAUAGCAUGAAAGUGGCAGUGGAAAUCGGCACUGAUCAUCACGAAAUACAAAGAUAACCGACAAUGAAUUCAUGGCGCAAAACCCACAGAUGGAUACGAUGUUCUCCCUCAUCCUGGCUACGGACCGGAUCCUAUGCUGGAAUGUACAAAGAGCCACCGUGUUGUAAGAGAUGUUGCGAUUUACAACUAGUGAAAAAAUACAUGCGAUCAUGGAAUAAAAUUAUAAGCUGUUCAUUGCGA